rnacentral:lncRNA from 1 species
AUAUCUCGCCACCCUUACUGUCGACGCCCCCGCCUUCGCCGAAGUCAUUGUCCCCGCCCUCGCCCUCGGCGCUCCCUACCCUCGGCGACCUCGCCAUGGACGCCCCUGCACUCGCCCUCACUUUCUCCCCAAAUUUCACCAAAUCUCUCGGUAGGUUUGUGAGUUUGGGAUCAACAAUUGGAGCCAUGGCGGUGGGUUUCUUGUGAAGAAAAAAACAAGUUUUCAUUGCAAAAAUCAAGUCUUUACAACAAUUGAGUUCUCUGUAAAACUAUUUCAAAUUUACAAACCUACCGAGAGAUAAAACGAGAGAGGAGGUGGCGGACUGCCGCGGCUCUGCCGUCCACGGAAACGGCGGCUCCGGGAGAGGCGGCUGCCAGAGUUCUUGCUGGCAACAACAGCGCUCGACGGCGACGCUCCUCCAGCGAGCGGCGAUGACUCCGGGCUUGUUUUGGUUUCUUGUGAAGAAAAAAGGGGGCGGGGAUUGGGGGGAUGAGCUUGUGAAGAAGAAGAGGUGGGGGG